rnacentral:tRNA from 1 species
GCCUAGUUAGCUUGGUUGGUAGCGCGUCUGCCUUGUAAGCGCUAGGCCGCGGGUUCGAUUCCCGCCCGGGGCC